ACCUGACCAGGGAAGAUAAAGAUUGCGCGAAAAUUUAAAUCUUUCUCCCAAAGUGGAAGAUUUCUUUCCAUUAUUAUUCCUUCUAUGAAGACUCCUAGGACUGGGCAAAAUAUUCGUUCGAUCCGCUUCGAGUUGGUAUUCGAUUUGAUUUGAUUCGAAAAAUCCGAAUAUCCGUAAGAUUUUGGACCAAAGCAAAUAGGAAAAUGUAUUAUUCGUAAAAACCGAAGCAAAUAACAAAUUUUGU
rnacentral:sRNA from 1 species